GGCACUUGAUCCAAAGAGAGCCUCUGAAAUGGCUGCACCCGAUAUCUCAGCAGGUUACCCCAUAGAGUGUUGAGUGGGCAACUCAAUUAUUCCCUCACCUGAAGAAGUCUGAAAGCAAGACGAAGAGAGUCCUUUUGCAAGAGUGAUGUACAAAGCCCUACGGACAUACAGACUUCGUGUGCAAGUCCUGUGGAGGAGAGGAGAUGAGAGAGCAAUCGGUUGGUGGCAUCUGGGGACAUUAAACAGUGACGUGGACACAGUGAUGGCCUGCAGUGGUGAACCAGUGAGGGAACAAGUCCUAUGGUUGGGGAGCUACCUGAGGCUGGAGAGCAGAGUACAGCCAGGCCCACAGUGGUGCAGCAUACCAGAGUCAAGGUCUCACUAGGAUGUCCAGGCUGGCCUCGAACUCCUGGGCUCAAGCAAUCCACCUGCCUUGGCCUCUGAAAGUGCAGGAAUUACAGAGGAGUGUAUUUAGAGUCAACAACCACACAUGGCUAAUCUCUCAGAAUGUUUCAUCAUGAGAUGUGAGCAUCAUGUUCCAGGCCCUGAGUGCUUCAUAAAAAAAAAAGUUCCUUUUCCACCAAAACAAUGCCCUGAUUUGAGUGCUUCAUCAAAAGAGAAAGAUUUCUCAUGAUAAACCAUAUUCUAAGCACUUAGAUCACAAUAUAGUAAAUUUUCAAAAGGAAGUCACUUUUGCCAAGAUAUAAAGGCUCAUGUACGUAAA
rnacentral:lncRNA from 1 species